AUUUAAUAAGGUUUUACCGAAGACAGUAGGUGCUAAUAGCAUAAAUCCUACCGAGGCAUAAAUUUUUUUAUUGUCCUCAUGUCUUCCAUGAGGUUUUUUAUU
rnacentral:sRNA from 1 species